UUUUUUCUGCCACCGGGUAGAAAAAAAUAAGCGUCAGAGUUUCUAUCGUUAGGUCUUAGAAGAUAGAAACCAUGGCGCUUUAUUUUU
rnacentral:ncRNA from 1 species